UUUAGCAAAAUUGAAGAGCUUGAACGACGUUUAAUUGUAAGUUUUAUUAAUCAUUUAAGUCUCACGUGCGUACGUAUUAAUGAAUAAUUACUGUACGCGAUGUCUUAUUGUUUGUUAUCACUGAAUAUAUCUGUUGCGAGAGCGGCACAAUUAUUAUACGUAACGAUGAAUCAAGCAAUGUGCAUCAGUUAUAAAGGGAAUUAUGCGAUAUGAAUAUUUCCACGAAAGUAAUCUGGAGCAUGACAGAAGAAAGAGAAACUCGAAUCGAAGAAACAGUAACUGUCGACGCGAUGAAUGCGUGCAAUACUAUGUACUUUUGCAACGUGCGUGUACGUGCGGACUUCUGCAAUUAAUAAAACUGAUUGUUAAAUUGCCUCGGGACCGUUCAGUUUUACUGAAAAACAUGAAAAUGCGAAAUGUGGAAAAUUACGAACGAUCCUAGUUUCCGAAUGGGCAGACACCGACCGUGUUAUUUCAAUUGUACGUGUACCUAAGAUCGUUUUACGAUCGAGAGAGACAAGAAAACAAAGAAAAGACGACGACGAAGCAAACGAGCCGAGACAUAAUCGGAACGAAAUUAUCUCAAUCGUAAUAUGGUUCAACACGAAUCUCUCGAACGCGUACAUUUUAGCGAACGCUGCUGGCAAAACGAUAGCGUAAGUGAAUAAAAAGAAGAUCUUGUAUGUGUGUUAGAGUUACUCGUAGGCAAUUAGAGAACGUACAGUUUCUUAGUCGUUGACAUUCGUGGCUUCCUUCUUUCGAAUAUCCGCUCAUUCGUCGCCGCGCUAUGGUGAAAAUGUAUUCGAGUGUUUCCACUCGAUCGACAAAUAACCUUUCCAAACUGAUGAAAUGAGAUGAGAAACGCGGACCUGUGAACUGAAAUGAAUUAUUGGAAUCACAUCAGGAUAUAAUAUCUUUCGAAAGAGAAUGCAAUUUACAUUCGGAUCGUAGUAAUUCGACCGUUUGACUAACAUUGAAAUAAUAAUAGAUAAACAAUCGGAUUUUAUUCGGAUGAUGUGAGUAUCGAUUGCUUAGAAUACGCAUUGAUAUUUUACUAUAAAAGAAAAUCACGAAAGAUGAAAACAUUAAUUUUACGAUCUUGACGAUGGAGUGUUUCUUUAAUUGUUUUUGUAUUUACAUAAAAAUAUAUUUAUAUUUAUAUCAAUUCGUUAAACAAUUAUAAUCCUUUGUAUAAUACAGUUUAUAGGAGAAAGGCAAGAAAUAUACUUGAAAACAAUUGAAUACACGUGGACUCUGCUAUAUUUCAGUUAUGUAAAUGAGACCCAAGAUUUGAACAGAGCGAGGUUUACAUCCGAAACGAUGAUUGCGAGGACUAAGUAUUAUAUGGUGGGAUACGAACACUGACGAUUCGAUUUUGAAGAGAUUGAAUUAAUGUUAUUUUAUGAGGGAAAUUUUUAAAUACAAUUUUUUAUUAUAUAAAACGAACACUUUUAUUAAUUGUAUAAUAAAUCGUGAAGAAUACUGUAAAUGACAAGAAUAAUACAUACAAAUAAAAGAAAAUUUAACAUUAA